rnacentral:SRP_RNA from 1 species
CCUGGGAUUGGUGGCUGGAGCCCAGUUCCUGGGGAGGCUGAGGCAGGAGAGUUGCUUGAGCCCAGGAGUUCUGGGUUGCUGUGCACUGUGUUGAUUGGAUGACGGCACCAAGUUCGGCAUCAAUAUAGGGAGUGGGGGACUACUAGGUUGCCUAAAAGGAGGGAUGAACUGGCCCAGGUCAGAAAUGGUGCAAAUCAAAACUAUCGUGCUGAUCAGCAGAGGGAUCAUGCCUUUGAAUAGACACUACAUUCCAGCCUAGGCAACAUGGCAAAACCCAAUGCUUUU